GUUGGCUGGCGCGGCGGAGGCCAGCGCCAUCUUGUAAUGGCGAAAGCUAUCCCAGCUUUCCACGUGGGACGCAGUGAAAGCCAGCGCCAUCUUGUGGUGGUGAAUGUUAUUGCGGCUCUCCACAAGUAAAUAUUGCAUUUUCCUUCCUGUGAAAGCAUUUCACAUCUGUAUCUAAGGUCAAGCAUGCUUUUAUCUCUUCAGAUUAGACUGGAAACGCAUGGGGAAUAAGAACUAUGUUGGACGUAUUUUUGUGAGUUAAUGAGUAGUUACAAGCAUGUGCAUUUAACGAUGGAAGUAGGUUCUGGAUGGAUACCUUGGUGAUACAGCACUUGACAGCAAAGAAGACAAGAGGAGCCGAAGACUCCAUCACGCCUAGGCAGAGUAAACAGGCGACCCCUAAAGCACUUGACUUUAUUAUAUCGUAAGGACAGCAGUGGAAGCAAUUUUAGACAUCUAGCUUCUGUCCGUGCUGUGGCUUUCCUUUACUUUGUCUUAAAUAUCCCACAUCCAUGCUCACACCAGCAGCACUAAAUGGAUUCUGAGUUUUAAAAAGGAGAAUAAAAAGAGAAUUGUAGCAGCAGUGAAUUACUC
rnacentral:lncRNA from 1 species